UACGUAGGGGGCAAGCGUUGUCCGGAAUCAUUGGGCGUAAAGAGCGUGUAGGCGGCCCGAUAAGUCCGUCGUGAAAGUCCAGGGCUCAACCCUGGGAUGCCGGUGGAAACUGUCGGGCUAGAGUCCGGAAGAGGCGAGUGGAAUUCCUGGUGUAGCGGUGAAAUGCGCAGAUAUCAGGAGGAACACCAAUUGCGAAGGCAGCUCGCUGGGACGUUACUGACGCUGAGACGCGAAAGCGUGGGGAGCAAACAGG
rnacentral:rRNA from 1 species